UAAAAAUCAUGAAUAAUUAUGCUUAAAAGCUAAUGCGUGAUUUAACAAUUGGAGUAGCUAAAAAUGAAAAGACUAGAUGUGCCUGAUUUAACAAUCAGAAUAGCUAAAAAAUGAAAAGACUACAUGUUAAUUCUCAACUUCUCUUUUUGAUGAUUAAUACCACAUAAGAUGAUACAUUUUCAACUUCAUUCUUAUUCUAAGAUUGACAAUAGAAAUGAAGAACUCAGAAAGAAAAAGAAAAACGUCGCGGAAGAAAAAAGAGAUUAUCUAAUAAUGAAUUAGGGGAACUAAUGUAUAAUGGCAAAAUUGUAGUUAAGAGGAACCAUUGAGGUUAAUUAGUUUUUUGUACCUAUUUUAGAUUAUAUUGAUUAUAUAAAGUUAGACUAGUAAUUAAGUAAAAGAUUAGGAUUAUUCUGGGUAAUUUUCUCAAUAGUAUAUAACCCUAUUGAUGCAAAGUCUUGUUCUUGUUCUUGUUCUUGUAAUAU
rnacentral:lncRNA from 1 species